GUGCCCCGUUCAGCACCACGGUACAUUCAGGGCCGUUCUGGAGGUGCCUUCAUAGGCUGGGCUGUGCUUGAAGCCCUCUGAGAGCCUCCCAGAGGCAUGAUUCAGCAGGAGGGGGUUGGUUGAGGGCUCAGCCUCUCCAAAAUGAUGCAUAUCACUGUUUACUGACUACUACUUUUCUGCAGUUUCCACCCCCCAGUGCCUGAGCUGUGUCCCUAAUUAACAGCAGAGGACGAGGACAAGCCAGAGCCUUUGGGAUGCUUCUGGGCAGAGCCCGGGGAGGGACCGGACCCGUUAGCGGCUGAUUGAGUGCCUGUCAUUUAUUACAAUACUGGGACAAGGAGAAACAAUGAGAUGAAUGUCACGCUUCCCAGAGGUGUCAGAUAAGGGCAUGAUGCUGCUGGCAUUGCUGUAGCACCACGAUGGGUUGGAAGGAGCACCUCUGCCCUCUUCUGGGACAGCCACAGCCUCACUUGACCUCUGCAACAAUUUAAAGCCCCUCUGAUAGACAGCUCAUUGAUCCAGCAUGGCUGGAGGAAGUCAACAUACCAUGAUUUGGAAGUUUGCAAUCACAUUCUUCACUUUGGCCAUCAGUGUACACAAAACUCAUCCAUGCUUCAGCUUGUGUAUCUGUAUGUGUAGGUCUCAUUCGCUUGUGGUCCAGGCUUUCUUUCUGUUUUUUUUUAAAUUUUAUUUUAUUUUUUGGCUGCCUUUAAUUUGUGUCCAUUCAGUAACCACUAGUUGUAGGCCUGCUGGGAUCAGCCCUCUUUACAGAAGCUGCUCCCUGCAACCACAACCAUUUUAGAAAAAUCAGGAUGUAAUGGAGUAUUUAUUCUUUGAUUGUUUAACAACAUCUGAGAAUUCCAGCAACUCUUAUAAGACCUCGAGGAAUGCAGAGCCAGAAGAGGAAAAGCCCUGCCAGAAUCAGCUCCUGACAAUAAUGUGCAAGGCACUCUAUUUUAUUUCUUUUGGACUGCAGAAAUCGGAGCUAAAGAAUAGCUAGGAUAAUGAAGCGUACACUGUUUUUAAUUUGCCACAAGCCAACACAUUUCUGGAAUGUGGGGGUCUGGCUAUAUUCAUUUAAUAAAGAAUGAAUAAGGAGCGGUGCAUGGGGUUGAAUAGGAUGAUAUAUGAUGCUGCAAUGUGUAUGGAAUAUAAGGAAUGUCACUGCAAUAUCACAGUGAUCACACAGCAAUUCAGAUAUACCCUUCCCAAGGGAAACUGCUAGGAUCUGGGGGUGGGCUCUUUGAAUUUGUUCCAACAACACAAGGGGGGAUGAGCUUUUCUGACCAACAUUACUGCCCAUUGCAGUGCAUGUACAGAAGAGAUGAGCAAAGGGCUGCAUGGAGCAUUAAGCAAGAGACCUUUCUGAUAUCACAAAACUUGUACCCCUUGAGUGAAGCUUUUGAGUUGAAUGGUAUCCCACAUCAACCAUCACCUGUGGACAAGCCAAGUCUGAAAUCCCCAGCAGCCAUGAUAAUGGAGCUGCUACAGAAGCAAUGCCAGUGUGGCAGAAGAACAGAGUGGCUGCUAUCGUAGAUGGAGAAACAAUAAUCCCUGCCGACCAAGAUGACAACUUUUCUUUGGAUCUGGCAUCAAGUAGAAGGUUCUUUUGAAAGAAAAAGAAAUAUCCUUUUUUUUUUUUAAGGGAAAAUUCAGGGGGGAAAGUCCCCCCACCACAUUAUUCUGGCUCUUUUUUAUUGCCACAGACUGUUUGGAUGAACUCAAAAAUACAUUUUUGGGUAGGAAAAAAGGUUCUGACAACAUUGUAGGUUUUUUUUUAGCCUUCUAAUGGUGCUUUCACAAAUAUUACACCAUCCCAGCUUCUUCAUGAAAGUUUCUAGUUGAGAGCUGUGCUCUGAAAACACACAAAAUGUUCUUUUUUUCUGUGUUUAUAACAAGUGGAUAAGGCUAGAGCUGGCAAAAUGGCAAAGGAAUUUUAAUGCUGUAGAAAGAGUGGUGGGCCAUUAGCUUAAUGCCUCCACACAUCUCUCACUAGCUGGCUUUCAUCCUAUAGCCCUUCUUGCAUGCAUUCAGUAUGUCUCAACCAGUCUUCAAGUUUGCCAAUAAAACAUCAGUGGUGUUACUGUGUCUUUCUUUCAUGUCUAGAAGUCUUAAUAUACAUAUAUAUAUUCCUAGUUCCAAAAUAAUUCCACCUUCAGGAAAGUGAAAUAAUUAUUCUUGAGUUGCAGUUGUUACAAGGACUAUAGAAAAAAUAAUGACUGUCUGAGUUUUGAUGUUUUCACCUUAGAAACGUGGCGUGCAUCUUCCACUGUAACUGCAAGAGUAGAAAGAGAUGACAGGUUCAGUGAGACUUUUUCACCUACUCUGGAUUUUUAUCAUAAAGAUUAAUUUCUUGUUGUUCUCCAUCAAUAACUUCCUCUCCAG
rnacentral:lncRNA from 1 species